UACAGAGGGUGCGAGCGUUGUCCGGAAUCACUGGGCGUAAAGAGCGCGCAGGCGGUCGUACAAGUCGCGUGUGAAAGCCCCCCGGCUCAACUGGGGAGGGUCACGCGAUACUGAUCGACUCGAAGGCAGGAGAGGGUAGUGGAAUUCCCGGUGUAGUGGUGAAAUGCGUAGAUAUCGGGAGGAACACCAGUGGCGAAGGCGACUACCUGGCCUGUUCUUGACGCUGAGGCGCGAAAGCUAGGGGAGCAAACGGGG
rnacentral:rRNA from 1 species